GAUUGCUCUGCCCAUUGAAUUUAAAAGGCUGCGGUAUUUUAACUGUACAAAGGUAGCAAAAUAAAUAGUUUUUUAAUUGAAAGCUAGAAUGAAAGAGUUGAUAAAAUAUAAAUUGUCUCAAUUAUAAAAUUUAAAUAAAUAGUUAAAAUGCUUUUAUUUUUUUAUUAGACGAUAAGACCCUAAGAAUUUAAUAUUUUAUAUUAUUAUAUAAAAUUAAUUUAAUAUAAAAUAUUUUGUUGGGAGGAUAAUUAAAUUAAACUUUAAUAAAUAAAAACAUUAAUAAAUGAAUUUAAUGAUAAUUAUUAUAAUUAUAAGAGUAAAUUACCUUAGGGAUAACAGAGUAAUUAUUUUGGAGAGUUCAUAUUAAUAAAAUAGAUUACUUCCUCGAUGUUGAAUUAAAAUAAAAAUUAAAUGGAGAUAUUUAAAAUUUUAGUCUGUUCGACUAUUAAAAUUUUAC
rnacentral:rRNA from 1 species